AAGGAAAAGAAGCAGACUCCUCACUGAGCAGGGAACAUGGAUUUGGGGCUCAAUGUUGAACCCUGGGAUCAUGACUUGAGCCAAAGGCAGAUGCUUAACCAACUGGGCCACAGAAGUGCCCCUACUCUACUUUAUGUGUAGAUCUACCUCAUCUACUUACUAGAUUAAAUAAUUUUUAAAAGCAAGACACCUGGCAUCUAGCUUAUUGCUUUUCACAGUAUGGAUGCUUAAAUGUUGUUUGAAACCUUAAUGUCCCAAGAUGAAAUGGCUUAAUCCUUUGUUAGAAGGAUGAUGAGUGAAUUUAUAUUCUAUAUUUGUCUGCUUAGUUCUUUUCACCGUUUCAGUGCAAAAAAAAAAAAAAAAAAAUCAUGAAGUCCUAAAAUAAAAGAUAAUAUUCUAUAAGGUUGAUAUUUUUGUAAAUGACACUAUUCUAAAAUAAUCUCAGGAAAUCAUUGAAGAGACAUUUCAAGUGCUGUUACAGAAAGCUAAUCUCUAUUAGUUUUUUUUUUUUAUAGAAACAUAUUCCUUGACAGAAACAAGUUAUAUUUUAACAAAAUUACCAUAAUCUUUUCUUCAUAUGUGUAAUAUAAAUAAUUCACAACUAAAUAUAUCAGAGUUACACUAAAACAUGGACUAUUAAGAAAAACUCUAUUAAAAAAAGAAAAACUCUAUUUUAGCUAUAACUAUAAGAUUUACAAAGACCAAAAUAUGAAUUUACCAUACUUCUCACCCCCCCUUUUUAAAAAUAUUUAAUUUAUUUAUUCAUGAGAGACAGAGAGAGAGAGAGAGAGAGAGAGAGAGAGGCAGAGACACAGGCAGAGGGAGAAGCAGGCUCCAUGCAGGGAGCCUGACGUAGAACUCGAUCCCGGGAUUCCAGGAUCAUGCCCUGGGCCGAAGGCAGGCGCUCAACCGCUAAGCCACCCAGGCGUCCCUACCAUACUUCCUGAAUUAAAAGUCAAUUCCUCUUUCAUGGAGAUAAGAUUCCACUCAUUUAUUCAUUCAACAAAGAUUACUGAGUGUCAUGUCUAACUGUGGGGACUGGGAACACAGCAGUAAGCAAGACCGGGUUCUGUCUUUAGACAGUAUAUUUCUUUGACAGAGAUGCACAUACAGGUGUACACACUCAUACACAGACACAAUAUGUACACUUUGACCUCUGAGGUGAGAGCUAAAAGUGUUAAACUUUCAUAUAUAUACUCAGGGUAAUUUGGGAGAUUAAUGAAUCUUCAAAGAAUUAGCCAAUGUAAGACUUUGUUUUCUUCUAAAUUGUGCUAAAAUUACAUAGCUACUAAAUGUUCUAUAGCAAGAGUUCAUUUUGCACUUAAUACUUGUCACUAGCAGAAAACUGCCUUCAAAUACUACAGCUUUAAAAAAAAAAUCCCCUUUUCAAUGAGGAAACAAUUGACAAAAAGGGCUGUCUGAACUACAGAAAAGUAUUCUGUGAUACUCGUGACUGCUAAGAAACUUGAAAGUUAAAAUCCUACCACAUCUCACAAAAUUCUCUAUUUUCUAUAGCAAAUCCUUUACUACUGAAAUCACUAUGCAAAAUGCUGCCACUCAUUAAAAUGAAACAAGUACAUCUUAGAAAUUCAGAGAUAAAAUUCAGGACAAAAACUGAUAGAAGCCAACACAUUUAAAUUAGUUUGAAAAUGGGGACAUUUCUAUAAAAGAAUUUAUCUUUUGACUUCAUGAAAAUCUUUAGGGAAUUUUUAGUUUUCAUUGUAAAUUGCUGGGACAAAUCCAUUUGGUUUGUGAAUAAAAUGAAAUAUAAAGCUAUAAAACAUUGUUUACGUGAUGGUUCAGUGAGACACUUAGUAUUAUUUAUCUCAUUAAGAUAUUUUCCAGAAGGAAAAAGCAUUUGAAUUUCAGUUGUAAAUUCAUGAAAUCGGGUAUAAACUUAAGUGUAAGAAAUCUCAAAAAUAUUUUAUUGUUCCUUAGGUCUUAUGUCUUUUCACUCAUAAAUAGUAUUUGUCAGUAUAAUGCUUACUCCAACAAAAUAUUUAAAAGACAAGAAUAAAAUAUGGACAGUGGAGUAAUCUUAAGAACAAUAAAAUAUCAGUUUGAUUGAGUUUUAAGUCUCUCAAUAAUAGUCUGAUGCAACUGUUUAGAAUAAACAAUCACAGGAAAUCUGGUGACACUGCAUUGUCCUUGAACUAAAAUUCUUUGAACUAAAGAUGUUAGCUAUACAGGAGAUAGUGAGGCAGAAUAAUGGUGCCUCUCUACUCAUUUCUCUAGGUAUUGUACCAUAUACCAAAUCCUGAUUAGAAAAACUUCAGUGGUGUUUUAAAAACCGACAACUAAAUUCAUAGACUUGUUAAAAAUUUUAAAACAACCUACUGCUUUUUUCAGUUAAGAUAAAUAGGAAUUGCUGUUCCAUUCAACUAUCAUUUUUUAAGUCACAAGCUCUAUUGGCUUGGAAUGAUUUGGUUUGAUUGCUCAAGUUGAGAUUCUUUUUAAUUUUAACAACCAGUCCUAAUCUGUUCAUAUCCAAAAGAACAGUAAAGUUUAGAAGGUCUAAUUUGAGCAAAAUGCAGCACUGGAAAUACUGAGGUCUACAGUUUAUGCCAGUGCUGAGCUGGUUGAAAUAAUGGGAAAAUUGGAAUGUAACCCUGCUCCUGAAGUCCAGCUAAUAACUUUUGCCUGUGAAGAGCAGCAAAUUAAGUUAAAUCUUGUAGGAAAAUGCCAUAUGACAGACUAGCAUAAAAUUAUGGAAAAUCUUGAAGAUGUCCAGAUCCCAAUUCCUUAUGGGUUUUUGAAAAGGUAAAAA
rnacentral:lncRNA from 1 species